AAGGGAACAGAAGGGGAGGGAGCCACGUUGGCCGGCCGUGGGCAGCUGGGUGGCCCCCCAAAGAGGAAGGGGAGUCCUCCCAGCUCUUCAGGCCCUGACGUCUGGACUCUGUGGUGCCGGACAGGGAGGGGAGCAGGUCCCUGGAGCCCCAGUGCUCUCUGCCCUCCUGCGCCUCGGCCUGCAGCCCAAGGCCUUCGGUGUCCGAGCUCUCCCUCCAUUCCUCCCUGGUCCCCUUCUCCACAGGGCUGAGGGAAGCCCAUGACGAGGCUUUGCCGGCCUUGACCACGCGAUGCUGUGAGACCUCCAGAAGUGUGCAGGCCAUACAGGGCACCAAGGCCUGGGCGUGAGAGGCAAACGUGGGGCCCCCGGGAUGACAGUGAUGAAGCGGUGGGUGUGGAUAGAGCCAUGGCCCCAGAGAGUGCCAGGAUGCUGAGGCUGAAGGGUUGGGGAAAAAGGGAGCCCGCCAGGGACAGGGAAGGGCAGCCAGAGAAGGAGAUGAGGAGCAGAGGGGUCAGGGGUCCUAGAAGGAGGGGAGCUGGGCACUGCAGACAGGGCCGUGUGACCAGGAGUAGAGCUACGUGGGACCCUGCCUUGUGGCGUGGUGGGCGAGAAGUCAGACUGCAGCGGGCUGAGGCCCGGGAGGCUGGGAAAUGGGGUGCCGCUUUUCUUUUCUUUCUUUGCACUCCUGUCUUCCCUUUCAGUCCCUGCCUCUCCCUCUCUCUUCCGUGUGACUUUGUCCUUCUCCAUCCUGCUCCUCUCUGGAGCUCUUUUUUCUGGAUCGCUUUGUCUUUUUGCUCGCUGCCCCCCUUUCCUGUCUCCCCAGGGGACCUGAGCCACUAGAUGUCCACAACCAGGCUGGGCGCCCACCUGUCUUCCAGAGCAAGUCCUCAGCCCAGCCUCCUGAGGGGGAAGCUUGAUUUCCAGUCCUGGCCAGAUCCUGCCCCAUUCUCUGGGACGCCUCAGCCCAAGGGGGACAACUUGGGGCAGAGGAAACAGGGAAUAGGCUGGCACGGGAAGGGCUGGAGUGUGGCCCGCAGGUGACACCAGGAUCAAGGUGGCCCCGGGCUCCUGUGCCAACACUGCCCAUCCCCCAAGGUGAGAACACGCUGGGGCAGGAGUUGUUGGGCUUGGGGACCUCAGUCCUCGCUGCUGCUCUGUGGCCAUCACACCUGAGGGUCAGUCCCCACCCAUCCUCCAAGUCCCCAGGCGGGGCUCUGUGAGCUGCAGCCGCAGCCCUAGCCCCUCACAGUCAGAGGGCAGAGAAAGUUCUGCUUGAGGCUUGGAUGAGUGGGCAAUUGGAUUUUUAUUUACUCCUUUCUGGUUUGGUUCAGCUCUGGGCUUAUUUGAUCUCAUUUCCGGUCCUCAAUUCCUUGCUCCCUUCCUAUUUUCUAUGCGUUUGCCUCUUCCCGUCCCUCUUCAUCUCUCCCUCUCUCCCUCAGCCUUUUCCCUCUUCAUGGACUUUGCUUCCUUCUCUUAGUUUUCUCUUCCCAUCCCUCUGCCCCUGAGCAUUGUCCCACCCCUCCACCCACGCACUCCUUUCUCCUCCUCCUUUCUCUCUCUCUCUCUCCCUGUUCUCUUCCGGUGUGGUGUCUGCUUCUGCAGGCUCUGGAUUUCCUGGUGCCUCCAUCCCAUCCUGGGGGCGGCACUCUGCCCCUGCCAGAGGCAAAGGUGGCUGCAGCUGAGGAGAAGGAGGAGGAGGGGGGAGGAGGAGGAGGAGGGGAGGGGGGAGGAGCGCACCCAGCAGUGGGCUUGCAUCACAACCAGGCUUCUGGUUCAUGUGUGGGGAGACAAACACAAAGACUCCUCUUGGCCCCAGUCUCCUGGGCUUUCUCCAGGCAACCCUGGGAUUCCGGGAGUUUUGGGGGCAGGACCUAGUAGGGGACAGGAAGUGGGGGGAUCUUGAUCUGCUCACUUGCACCAGCCCUGGGCCAAGGACCUCUUUGGACAGUUUGGCUCAAAUGUAGAAAGAAGCCAGUCUGGAUAAGAUGGCCCGUCCUCUCCUCCAAGGCUACUGCCCCUGCAUUUUGCAUCAUCUGCUGAUGUAGUCACUAAACCACACUAGGUGCCAUGCCCUUUGCUGGGCAUUUGGUGGGCAAUAUAGACCCUGUGUCUUCCCUUAUGAAUCUUAUGUCUGAGAAAGAGACAGACAUGAGCAAAAUCCAUGAAUAAGCAAAGAGCUGCAUCUGUAAGGCUAUGAAGUGGCUCCAGUCUAGUCCUGGGGACUCUGGACAGGUUGAUGGCUGAGUGGAGAUGACUUAGGGGAGUGGUAGGGCAGGGCAGGGAGAUGAACUAGCUGGCUGGUUCCGAAUGCGCAAAGGCCCUGGGGCAGGAGGAGCCCAGCAGGUUCUAAACACUGGAGGAAUCGUGAGACAGCCAGUGUGACUGCAGCUCACAGAGCAAAGGCUGGCAGGCCAGAGAGGCCAAAUGAGAGGAUUCAUUCUCUAUCCUUCCUGCUCUGGACCCCCGGGGAGGUCAUAGUCAGGUCUGCACUGGGGGAGCCCACAGUGCUGCCUGAAAGGAGGAAGUGCUGCAGGGGAUGGAGGAGCAGCAGAGAGGCUCCUGGGGUAGCCCAGGUGACUAUUCUUGGACCAGACUAAUAGGAGUGGAAGAGGUGGGGAGGGACAGGCUCAAAGGCCCUGGGGAAGAGAAUUCCUGCAGGUGUGGGGCUGGAUUGGGUGGGGUGGGGUGAGGGGCAGAGCACCCUGAGUCUGUGCAUCUCUAGUUGAUGCAAUUAGGGCACAGCUUCUGCCCGCCUCCGGGGACCAGCCUGGGGACCUGGGACCCACAGCGCCUGCCCUCAGAGCGGGGAGCUGGAAGUGUCUUUCGGCUGAAGUAGCCCUGGCUGUGGAGUUUUCGCAGGUUCCUUCAUCUCUCUGAUCCUCUUUUCCCUAAUCUGUGAAGUGGGGACCGAGAAGCCCAUCUUGCAGUUCUGGGUCCUGCUCAGUAAAGUGGAAGCUUCCAGAGACGCCCAGGUGUUGAAACGGCUUUGCAGGGGGCUUUGCAGCUGCACCGGGCUGGGCAGGUGACAGGGCCCCAUGCAGAAUCCGAAUGUCAGGGAAGACCACACCGCGCCUGGAAGCCCAACACAGCCGAGAGAGAAACAGACAAUCAAGGCAUUGAAAAAGUGGAGGAGAAGCCUGGAAAAACUGGCUGGGGCCAAUGUCUAGAGGUAUGGGACUCCGGAUUCUCAUUCUGAAGGCCACAGGGAGCCAGUAACAGCUCUUGAGCAGGGCAUGGUUUGAUCCUUUUGCCAAGGAUUUGUCACCUUGGAGACAGCAGACGGACUCAGGUAAAAAUCUGGGGCUCUGCGGGGAGGGGAAGGUGGUGGGAUUUGCAGUUCUGGGAUUGACAAGAAAACAGGACAUGAGGCCAGGUAAAUAGGUAGACCAGAUGGCCCCCUCCAAAGUUCACGUUCUGUCUCUCCUGCAAUCCAGUGUUCUAGUUUCCAGGUAGGAAUUUCGUGGCAUAGGCGGCGAAGCCACUGAGGCACAGAGAAGGCCAAUCACCGCCCCAGGUCACGCAGCUAGGGUUGAGGCCUUGGAUGUAAGAUCCCUGCUGCACUCAUUUCAAGACUCCGGGUAGCAUGGGCUCCAGCUGCCUGGCCAGGCCUGCAGAUGGGGAUGAGGGCCAGCUGAUGGGGGACAGUCUUCUGGAGCCCCUCUCUGUAGAGCCAUGUGGCCCGAGGGGGAAGGGAGCCUGGUGGGCAGGGAGGAGCUGCCACAUGGAAGGAGGCUUGAUGGGAACCAUCUGGCCUGCGCUGGGAGUGUGGGCUGCAGGAGGAGGGCGGGGCAGGAGGUGGGCAGGAGGCCAUGGUGGGCUGGGCCGGCCCGCUGGUGGAUGGCGGCCGGGGCUGGGAGCGGUGGCCCAGGAGGCCCCUGCCUUCCAGACGGCUGUAGCCCAGAUGCCUUUGCAGCCGGCCUGGCCCCGUCCAACCCGCUGACCUCAUUCCCAGCGCCUCCUCCCUCCCUCGCAGGCUCCUCGCCCUGCCUGCCACGUAGACUCGGCCACAGGGGGAAGGAGAGUGGGACCCAGGUGCCCUGAGCCCAGAGCCCUGCCAGGACCUACAGAGCUGUGGGCAGCCGCUGUGACCACUUGGGGCCUCAGUUUCCUCUCCCCAAACAUGAGGUCCGGUAAAUGAGGGGACUGGGGUGAUGGGAGAAGCCAGAUGAGAAGCAGGGGUGGAGUGAGGAGCGGGGAACCAAGGGGGCUUCCUGGACUCGUGAGAGCCUUCCCCGCCUUCUGGGCUCCCGGGUGCUGUCCUCACAUCUCAGCAUCGCACUGGCUGUCGGGUGCAGAGAGCAGCACGCUGUCCCCUGUCGGGCUCCUCAGAGCCCCCAUCCUGCCCCCCGGCCCGGCGUAUCUGCCUCCCUGCCCCCCAGGUCCUGGUGUUACUGUCCUGAGGAGCUGGGGCUGUCCCUGCCGUCUGCCCAGGCGUUCCCGGCCGGUGAGUCAUCGGGAAUGUCUGCUCUGGCUGCAGUUUCCCCCCUGGCCAGGGACCCUCUCCCUCCUCGCCGGAACUCAGAGUAGAGGGUGCUGCUCCCAGGCAGGGGCUGGGGUGGGAGGAACCCAAGCCCAAGGCUGCCCUGAGGCCCGGUCCCCCACAGGCAGGAAAGGCAGAAGGGGACUGGGGCCUCCAGAGGCCAUGUCCCCAUCACAGAUAGACAGCCUGUCCUGGUGCCUGCUUCCCAGGCAGGGACACCAAGGAAAGCAGCUCGGUGAGGCCCAGACAGAGUUUGAUGUGCUCAGGCUCCCAACACCACACUGUUCGGGGCUCAGCUUUGCAGAACUGGGAGUCUGCUCAAGCCUCUUUUGGAAGGGCCCUCCCCAGUCAGCUGGGCCUGGCAGGGAAAGCUGGAGAGGCCGCCCCUCCACGGAUGAGGCAUCCUGGCUGGGGUGCGGUGUCCACGUCCACAGGAGAGGGGGGCCCUGGAUCAGUUUUUGUUUGUUUGUUUGUUUUUGAGACAGGGUCUCACUAUGUAGCCCAUGCUGGCCUUGAAAUCACUGCGUAGUCCAGGCUGGCCUCAAUAUCACAGCAAUCAUCCUGCCUCAGCCUCCUAAGUGCUGGGAUUACAGGUGUGGAGCACCAUACCCAGCUGGAUUUGUUGUUUAGAGAGCUAGGUUCAGUGCCUGAGUCGUCUACUGACUGUGAGCAUUCACAUCCCAGUACUGUGCCUCAGUUUCCCCAUCGGUAAAACAAGGGGGCUGGACAGAAAGAGUUUCCACUCUCGGAUUAAUCUAUGAUUCUGUGUCUUCCCACUGAGACCGACCCUUGCACUCACAUACACACUCACAGAUACACUCUUCACUCCUACAUUUGGGCACAAUUUUUGUUCCCUUCUGCCUGAGGGCUCCCACACCCCCACAUUGUCACCAUUGCUUCUCCUCCUGAGGUCACAGGCAGGACAAAGGUGAGCCACAGCAGAAGCUGAGAGGUUUGUGCUCCAGAGUGUCAGACCUUCAGCUCCCUCAAGGGUCCCACCUCUGCGGUUUGGGGGUGGGAGGGGCCGGGGACGGAGCAGAGAAAGUCUCGCUUGUUCCCACCCAGCUGGGCACCUGCACAAGGGUGGCCCUCGCUUUUCCUUCCCGGACAUCACUAGCUCUCCCUUCCAAAAACUCCGGUCCCCCGGACACCCAGGGACCUCCUCCACCCUCAGGCCAUCUUUGCAGCUUGGCCUGGCUCUGGCCCCAGGCUGCACCCUUCGAGGAACUUCUGCUGAGGAGCUGCUCAGAGCUCGGAAGGACCUUCCCGAGAGGAGGUAGCUGCUGGCCGGGAGAGAUGUCGGUGGGAACUGAGCAGCAGAUGCUGGAGGAGCAGCAGAUAUCCGUACUGGGCUCUGCCGCAAGCUCCUGGCACCUCUGACCUAUACCCUAGUCCCUGAGGUGGGUGCUGUUGUUGCCUGCAUUUCAGAGGAGGAGAGAGAGAGACACAGAGAGAGGUGGAGCCAGUUUCCUGGAGUCACAGAGCUGGGAAGUAGCUGCACUGAGAUGAAAACCCAGAAAGUCUCAUGCUUCACUCAGAGACCCAGGACGGAUGCCAAGUGGACCACCCCACCCCACUGCAGAAGUGGCUGUUUGCAGGAAUGCGCUGUCUCCUCUUGGGCUCAUGCACGGGAAGGACCACAGCAUAACGUGGCUGAAACUGACCACAGGCACUAGCCGAGUGGCCAGUCCCAGCUACCCCGCCUCUGCCUCCCGUCUGCCCAGGGGCUACUGUGAGCUGACCACACCACGACACACACAGCAUCUCAUUUAUUUCAUUAAAAAAAAACUCUCCCUCCAUUUAUUUUCCUUUUCUUUUUCUCUAUUUUUCAUUAGUGUAUAUUUGUGACAUAAGAAAUGCAUUCAUCAUGGGGAAUCGGCACCUAUACAAACUCUGGUCUUAAUCCUUUUUACUCCCUUUCUCUCCCCACUCUCCUAUCUCCACCACCCUCAGACUCCCCCUCCCCUCCUUUGCUUUGAUUUAUUGAUCCUUUGUAUUGGGUUUUUUGGUACCGGGAUCGAACUCGGGUCCUUGUGCUUGAGCAGCAGGCAACGAAACCACUAAGCUAAAUCCCAGGCCCUGUAUUGGUUUUUAAUCUCAAUUCAUUAAUUUCCAUUCUGAUCAUUACAAUCUCUUUCCUUCUAUUAGUUUCAGAGUUGGGUUGCUCUUGUCUUUCUAGGACCUUAAGAUGCAUCCUCAGAUUAUUUAUUUGGGAUCACUCUAUUAGGCCCUAACCUUCCCUCUCAGAACUGCUUUCAUUGAGUUCCACAGGUCUUGAUAUGUUGUGCUUUCAUUGUCCUUUGAUUCUAGGAACUUGUAAAUGUCUUCUGUGAUCCGUGGAUUAUUCAAUAGCAUAUUCUUUAAUCUCCCUGUAUUUGAGUAAAAUAGUUUCUGUGGCUUCUUUUCCUGUUGAUUUCUACCUUCACUCCAAUAUGGCCCCAUGGUAUGCAGGGGAUUAUUUCAGUUCUUUUGUACUUAUUUAAGCAGAUUUUGUGGCCUGAGAUAAUGUCUAUUUUGGAAAAAUCUCUGUGUACAAUGUCUCAUUUACUCUUCAGAAUGGCUCUGGGAGAUCAGCUAAUACCUCUACUUUACAAAAGGAGACCCUGUGGCCCAGAAGGGCCAAGGCAUUGCCCAAGGACUCCUUCUUAGAGCUGAGAGAACCCAGCAGCCCCAAAGCUGGAACAGCCUGUGAGUCCCCUAGUGCAGAUCCACACUGCACAUGCAUGGACCAUGCACACCCCCACCCCCUAGCGAGACCCUGCCUACCAAGUUCCACUGCAGUGCUUCAUUCCUUCUUGUGGACAGUGCCCUGAGGAAGGACAUUCUGUAAGUGAGGGGACCCUAGCCCAGCCCAGAAGCACCCUGCACAUACCACAACCCAUGAUUACGCAUGCAUGGAGCUGUUACACGACAACCAAACCACUAUAAGAGCCCCACGGUAAAAGCUAAAGGUUCUAGGUGUUUUCUGGGUGUUGGCUCCUGUUCACUGAAUGGCCUAU
ensembl:lncRNA